GGGGUACCCGCUGAACUUAAGCAUAUCAUAA
rnacentral:rRNA from 1 species